rnacentral:rRNA from 1 species
UGGGGAAUAUUGGACAAUGGGCGAAAGCCUGAUCCAGCCAUGCCGCGUGAGUGAAGAAGGCCUUAGGGUUGUAAAGCUCUUUCACCUGCGAAGAUGAUGACGGUAGCAGGAGAAGAAGCCCCGGCUAACUCCGUGCCAGCAGCCGCGGUAAUACGGAGGGGGCAAGCGUUGUUCGGAAUUACUGGGCGUAAAGGGCGCGUAGGCGGAACAUUAAGUUAGGGGUGAAAGGCCUGGGCUCAACCUGGGAACGGCCUCUAAGACUGAUGAUCUCGAGUCCGGAAGAGGAUGGCGGAAUUCCCAGUGUAGAGGUGAAAUUCGUAGAUAUUGGGAAGAACACCGGUGGCGAAGGCGGCCAUCUGGUCCGGCACUGACGCUGAGGCGCGAAAGCGUGGGGAGCAAA